UUAAAAGUUAUGAAGAAGACAGAUUUUUGGUUUGUUUUUCAGAGAGUCGAUGGUUGCUGUGAAUCGAUAAACAUCCUUAAAUUGAGCACUUCUGAGCUGGUAUCUGAACAAAGUAAGCAUACCCGGUUCCCCACCCGUUAUCGUGUCUGAGAUCGCUCCCAUGUUUUGAGCGUAUCAAGGGUGGUACCGCGUAAUACACGCCCCUUGC
rnacentral:ncRNA from 1 species